rnacentral:rRNA from 1 species
GAUGAAUGCUGGCGGCGUGCCUAACACAUGCAAGUCGAGCGGCAGCGAGUUUUACACUGAAUUCUGGAAGCUUCUGAGUAGUACAGAAGAUUUAUUCAAGAGUUUUGUGUAAAAUGUCGGCGAGCGGCGGACGGCUGAGUAACGCGUAGGAAUUUGCCCCAAAGUGAGGAAUAACUGCCCGAAAGGGUAGCUAAUGCCGCAUAUGGUCUUCGGGUUAAAGCCUUCGGGCGCUUUGGGAGAAGCCUGCGUUGGAUUAGGUAGUUGGUAGGGUAAUGGCCUACCAAGCCGACGAUCCAUAGCUGGUCUGAGAGGAUGAUCAGCCAGACUGGAACUGAGACACGGUCCAGACUCCUACGGGAGGCAGCAGUGAGGAAUCUUCCACAAUGGGCGAAAGCCUGAUGGAGCAACGCCGCGUGAAGGAUGAAGGCCUUCGGGUUGUAAACUUCUUUUAUGAGUGAAGAAUAUGACGGUAACUCAUGAAUAAGCACCGGCUAACUACGUG